ACAGGUCUCACCUCAGCUCAAAAACAUCUGCUCUGUUUUGCUGUUGCUGGAUGUCUGAUGAUUUUUGCUUCAGUUCUGCUCUUCUGGAUCUACAGGAAACAGAAACACACAUCAACAGGAAACAGUUCAGAGCUGUGAAAUCACUUUCCAUCAUAGACGAACAUGUAAACGGAGAGCUCCAGUGGAGGAUGAAGUGGUGUAUGCAGAAGUCAAGAGACGAUGAUCAAACUCAGUUUAAACAUUACGAUACUGAACUGACCUGUAAAAUAUUAUCAAAAUCACUGAACAAGAUAUUAAAGUGUUUCUAAUGUUUUAUUUUUAUAAAUAUUCUUUACUUCUGGGUUAAAGUGAAUGAUGGUGUGGAAAUGUGGUUUUGUUCUGUUAAUGGACACAAGUUUUAUUUUUGACUAUUGAGGCUGUUUGUGGUUGAUAUGUGAGAGGUGUGAACCGUGUGUUUGUGGAAGAGAGAGAGAGACAAUAAAAUAUUGAAUCAUCAAUGCUAAUGUAUGACAAAUAAAAGAUUGCUUUAUAUAAUCAGACAGUGAGCUCUUACUUUGUGAAUGUUUUUAUUUCUGUUCAUGUAGCUCAGUUUGUUUUAGA